rnacentral:rRNA from 1 species
CAGCACCUCAAGUGGUCAGGAGGAUUAUUGGGCCUAAAGCAUCCGUAGCCUGUUCUAUAAGUUUCCGGUUAAAUCCACUAGCUCAACUAAUGGGCUGCCGAAAAUACUGUGGAACUAGGGAGUGGGAGAGGUAGACGGUACUCGGUAGGAAGGGGUAAAAUCCUUUGAUCUAUUGAUGACCACCUGUGGCGAAGGCGGUCUACCAGAACACGUUCGACGGUGAGGGAUGAAAGCUGGGGGAGCAAACCGGAUUAGAUACCCGAGUAGUCC